CAGCAGCCACGGUAAAACGUAGGGUGCAAGCGUUAAUCGGAAUUACUGGGCGUAAAGCGUGCGCAGGCGGUUAUAUAAGACAGAUGUGAAAUCCCCGGGCUCAACCUGGGAACUGCAUUUGUGACUGUAUAGCUAGAGUACGGCAGAGGGGGAUGGAAUUCCGCGUGUAGCAGUGAAAUGCGUAGAUAUGCGGAGGAACACCGAUGGCGAAGGCAAUCCCCUGGGCCUGUACUGACGCUCAUGCACGAAAGCGUGGGGAGCAAACAGGAUUAGAUACCCCCGUAGUCCCUGUCUCUUAUAC
rnacentral:rRNA from 1 species